rnacentral:rRNA from 1 species
UACGAAGGGGGCUAGCGUUGCUCGGAAUUACUGGGCGUAAAGGGCGCGUAGGCGGCCUUCUAAGUCGGACGUGAAAGCCCCAGGCUUAACCUGGGAACUGCGUCCGAUACUGGGAGGCUUGGAUUCGGGAGAGGGAUGUGGAAUUCCAGGUGUAGCGGUGAAAUGCGUAGAUAUCAGGAGGAACACCGAUUGCGAAGGCAGCUCGCUGGGACGUUACUGACGCUGAGACGCGAAAGCGUGGGGAGCAAACAGG